UAAGAAUUAGUUAAUAAUAAAUAAUAUUAAUUUGUCAAAUUAAAGUAAUUUAAAAUAAAUAUUCUUAU
rnacentral:tRNA from 1 species